rnacentral:misc_RNA from 1 species
AAGUCGUAACAAGGUUUCCGUAGGUGAACCUGCGGAAGGAUCAUUAUUGAAUAAACUUGGUUGGGUUGUUGCUGGCCCCUCGGGGCAUGUGCACGCCUGGCACCAUUUUUACCACCUGUGCACCCUUUGUAGACCUGGGAUAACCGUCCGGGGAAACUCGGUUUGAGGAUCUGCCGUCAAGGCUCUCCUUGCAUUCCUGGUCUACGUCUUUACAUAUACCCCACAAGCAUGUAAUAGAAUGUCAUUGAUUGGCCUCAGUGCCUUUAAAUUGAAUACAACUUUCAACAACGGAUCUCUUGGCUCUC